AUGGCGUGAUGAUGCUGAGAAGGUUUCGCUUGAGAGCUGAUGUCAUUUGAUGUAACUUUUCUCUUGGCUGUCUGACCAA